AUUGAACGCUGGCGGCAUGCUUUACACAUGCAAGUCGAACGGCAGCACAGUAUGAGCUUGCUCUUACGGGUGGCGAGUGGCGGACGGGUGAGGAAUACAUCGGAAUCUAUUUUUUCGAGGGGGGUAACGUAGGGAAACUUACGCUAAUACCGCAUACGACCUACGGGUGAAAGCAGGGGAUCUUCGGACCUUGCGCGAUUGAAUGAGCCGAUGUCGGAUUAGCUAGUUGGCGGGGUAAAGGCCCACCAAGGCGACGAUCCGUAGCUGGUCUGAGAGGAUGAUCAGCCACACUGGGACUGAGACACGGUCCAGACUCCUACGGGAGGCAGCAGUGGGGAAUAUUGGACAAUGGGCGCAAGCCUGAUCCAGCCAUGCCGCGUGGGUGAAGAAGGCCUUCGGGUUGUAAAGCCCUUUUGUUGGGAAAGAAAAGCAGCAGGUUAAUACCCCGCUGUUCUGACGGUACCCAAAGAAUAAGCACCGGCUAACUUCGUG
rnacentral:rRNA from 1 species